CUGCUGUCUCGGACCUUCGUAAAGUUUGUUUGAGGUCAUCUUUCAUCUCUUCAGAAAGAACAACCUCACAAGUGGAGGCCAGCACGCCAGUUUCCAGCCUUCCAGUUCUGUAAAUAAGCAGCUUCUCUGGUAGAACCGCCUUGCUGGACCUGAUUGCUGCUGCGCAAAUUGGAGAAGUGGUUUAUGGUCUUCUGUCUUCUCUCUCGCGUUACCAAAGUGAGAAGAUAACACACAAGACAAUAAGAGAGCUGAUUGUACAACCGCAGACGGGAAGGAAGCGUUUCAAAAG